rnacentral:rRNA from 1 species
UGGGGGAUAUUGCACAAUGGGCGAAAGCCUGAUGCAGCGACGCCGCGUGGGGGAUGAAGGCCUUCGGGUUGUAAACUUCUUUUGCUCUGAACAAGGCGCACCAUGGGGUGUGUUGAGUGUAGGGGUUGAUUAGCGCCGGCUAACUACGUGCCAGCAGCCGCGGUAAUACGUAGGGCGCGAGCGUUGUCCGGAAUUAUUGGGCGUAAAGGGCUUGUAGGUGGCUGGUUGCGUCUGUCGUGAAAGCUCAUGGCUUAACUGUGGGUUUGCGGUGGGUACGGGCUGGCUUGAGUGCAGUAGGAGAGGCUGGAAUUCCUGGUGGAGCGGUGGAAUGCGCAGAUAUCAGGAGGAAUACCGGUGGCGAAGGCGGGUCUCUGGGCUGUUACUGACACUGAGGAGCGAAAGCAUGGGGAGCGAACAGG